rnacentral:lncRNA from 10 species
ACAGGUUUCCCUUAGGAAAUCCUGAGCCUGGUGCAUUUGAUAAGUAGUCAGGUCCAUAUGGAUUUUUCCCCCAAAAAACAAUUGAGAAGAUGUGGUAAUUUGCCCACCACACAAAAUCGAGAACUUGUUCAACCCUGGGCCAUCCCUGCAGGCUCAGGGGGCUGUCAGGUUUGUAACAACAAAGUGAGGGGAACGCCCUUGGUGCAGCUGAUGCUGUUUCGAUCAGCCCACUCUCUUUGACUAACGUGUGGAACAAGAACUCCAGGCACCGUGUUAAUUUUCACAUUAUGGUAACCAAUUGGAUUAAUUUGUAUUGAAUAGAUAUCAUCCUUUGAUGGAUCCCCUUGUUGAAAUUAAAAUUCCAGAUUAAUCCAAAGGAAAAUGCCAUGAGUAAUCGGAUUUCCAGUGGAAAUGGAAGCGGCGCCUGAGUCAUUGAGAAGCUUCCCGAUUAGGAGCCAUCAGGCCCUGAUUCAUAUCAGACAUAAAGUGAUGCAAUUAGAAACCCUCACACCUAAUUACCCAUCAGAGCAAACGUGCCGUCGUGUGACACUGAGCCCACGGAGGUGUUGAAAGAGCCGUCACCCGAAGGAAACGAAAGCAUUGAGGGUCGUCUCUCAAGACAGAGCAUUUCAGAAACAGACCAUGGCCGGGGAAGGGGCCACAUGAGCUGCCAACAGCCCGGUGAGCACCCAGUAUUUCAGUCCUCUCUUCACUCAUUGAGCACAUCUGGCCCGACCAUGGGCUGCGGACAAGAUGUGAGAUUUUAGGAAAAAGAAUAAUUUUCCCUCGACCCAUCUGAGUUUUCAGCUGUGAUGCCUGUAACAAAAGAAAGAACAGCAAGAGAAAAAUAAACCCGGCUGAGUGGGGUGGCUCACGCCUGUAAUCCCAGCACUUUGGGAGGCCGAGGUGGCCGGAUCACGAGGUCAGGAGUUUGAGACCAACAUGGUGAAACCCUGUCUCUACUAAAAAUACAAAAAUUAGCCUGGCAUGGUGGGGUGUGCCUGUAAUCCCAGCUAUUUGGCAGGCUGAGGCACGAGAAUCACUUGAACCCAGGAGGCGGAGGUUGCAGUGUGCCAAGAUUGCACCAUUGCACUCCAGCCUGGGUGAUAGAGCGAGACUCCAUCUAAAAAAAAA